rnacentral:rRNA from 1 species
UACGGAGGGUGCAAGUGUUAUCCGGAAUCACUGGGCGUAAAGCGUCUGUAGGUGGUUUAAAAAGUCCACUGUUAAAGAUUGAAGCUUAACUUCAAAAAUGCCGUGGAAACUUUUAAACUUGAGUAUGAUAGGGGUAGAGGGAAUUUCCAGUGGAGCUGGUGAAAUGCGUAGAUAUUGGAAAGACCACCAAUGGCGAAGGCACUCUACUGGGCCAUUACUGACACUGAGAGACGAAAGCUAGGGGAGCAAAUGGG